rnacentral:lncRNA from 1 species
GGUUGUUGGACGUGCUGUUAGUGGACGAGAUAUUCUAGCUCUUAUCUACUCUCGCGAGAUGUGAGUAGUUACGUUUGAACUUAUUCACUCAGGAUGAAUAGCUAUUGCACGUGCUAGAAAAUUGGCUGUCCGAAGUAACAGAGGAAGUUCACAUAUUAGAUGGGCUGUACAUCAGAUUGGAUAUAAAGAGCUCAGCUCCACAUACCUCAGCUCGGUGUUUGGAUUAGCAAUCACGACAAUAGCUCGCUGGCUUGAAGUAUUCGAUGAUAACACACGGAUCCGAGGUAUUCACGGUACCAUCGUAACACUAUCUCCCAACUCAUGAGUCCAGACGAAAGGAGUAUCUUUGAAGUCAUAUCUCUGAUCUGGGGAUACGUGCUCUCACGCUUUCACAUGUCAUCAGCAUUUAAAAUUAAUGAUGUCAGCCUGACAAGCAGGGCUUGUCGCAAAUGAUCGCGAUUGAUGGGACCACUCAUAUGCCAGUUUUCUCAAGAAUUUAAUUUUUCCAGCGACGGCUCUUUGUUUUCUUCUUUGUCCUCUUUUAAAUCUGCUGUUCGAGUACACUAAGGAGGCGAUUGCAAUCCCCCUUC